rnacentral:rRNA from 1 species
CUCGGAGUUUGAUCCUGGCUCAGAGCGAACGCUGGCGGCAGGCCUAACACAUGCAAGUCGAACGGAUCCUUCGGGAUUAGUGGCGGACGGGUGAGUAACACGUGGGAACGUGCCUUUUGGUUCGGAACAACUCAGGGAAACUUGAGCUAAUACCGGAUAAGCCUUUCGAGGGAAAGAUUUAUCGCCAUUAGAGCGGCCCGCGUAGGAUUAGCUAGUUGGUGGGGUAAAGGCCCACCAAGGCUACGAUCCUUAGCUGGUCUGAGAGGAUGAUCAGCCACAUUGGGACUGAGACACGGCCCAAACUCCUACGGGAGCAGCAGUGGGGAAUCUGCGCAAUGGACGCAAGUCUGACCCAGCCAUGCCGCGUGCAGGAUGAAGCGUUAUGCGUUGUAAACUG